rnacentral:rRNA from 1 species
AAACUACAAAUAGAAUUGUACGGGGCCCGGCACAAGCGGUGGAGCAUGUGGUUUAAUUCGAAGCAACGCGAAGAACCUUACCAGGUCUUGACAUCCCCUGACAACCCGAGAGAUCGGGCGGUUCCCCCUUCGGGGGACAGGGUGACAGGUGGUGCAUGGUUGUCGUCAGCUCGUGUCGUGAGAUGUUGGGUUAAGUCCCGCAACGAGCGCAACCCUCGACCUUAGUUGCCAGCAUUCAGUUGGGCACUCUAAGGUGACUGCCGGCUAAAAGUCGGAGAAGGUGGGGAUGACGUCAAAUCAUCAUGCCCCUUAUGACCUGGGCUACACACGUGCUACAAUGGGCGGUACAAAGGGUCGCGAACCCGCGAGGGGGAGCCAAUCCCAAAAAGCCGCUCUCAGUUCGGAUUGCAGGCUGCAACUCGCCUGCAUGAAGCCGGAAUCGCUAGUAAUCGCGGAUCAGCAUGCCCGCGGUCCGAAUACGUUCCGGCCUU